AAAAAAAAAAAAAAAAAAAGAAUCAGCAACGAGGGAGCUCACAAUUAGUGGGGCUCAACAAGACGGUGAUCAAAAUGAUGGGCAAGAUUCAAGGCCUUGUCAAUGAAAUAAAUUCAAUGCUUCAAUUGCAAGAGGAAAGGAAAUUAUGCACGGGACCGUUGGUUCAACAAGUCAAUACAAGAAAAUGUGGUCACUUUAGGAAAUUGCGAGGUACAAUAUGACAACAAGAAAGAAUAGAAGUUAUAGAACCUAGAAGUGCCAUUUGUUACAAUGAAGUUAGUUAAAGAACUAUUAGAUAGUGAAGAAGAAUGAGACUUGACAGCAUCAAACUUCUUUGAAGAAGUGCCAUUGGAAGAACGGAUCGACUUUGAAGAAGGAAGAAUUCAUCAGUGGAAUCCAAGUUCAAGCAUUGAUAAGGUAGCUUUAAGCUUGAUCAUGGAAGAUUACAAGAAAUUCCCUUUUGCAGUGACACUAGUUGGAAAAAUUGAUUAUGAAGAAGAAGCAAAGGAAACAAUAUAGGAAGCAUUUAGGGAGAAAAUGCAAGAAGUGUAGCAUAGAUCAAAAUUAAUUGAGGAACUUUCAUGGUCUUCAAGUAAAGAAGCAAUUAGAGAUGAAGUUAGGAAACAAAGACAAGGGCAAGCUUAAGUGAAAAAAUUGGUAAUAGUACAAAAAGAAAAGAAACAAUCCAAGUAAGGAAGACAAGUUAAAAUCAAAGGGCAUAAUUGAGGAGUUGAAUAAAAGUAAACAUACAGGACGUGGAGGAUAUGAGAAAAUAUCUUGGAAUAGUAAUUGGCAAAAAGAACAUAGAGAUGCAUCGCAGUACAUAAUGACUAAAGACAACAUAAAAGUUUAAGACUCCUAUGCUCAAGAUGGACGUGAAGUGCUAAAGCAAGAGAAGGAAAGUGGAGUUAUAGAGAGUAGAAGAUGAGGGGAAGCAUUGAAGACAUCAUCACCACCUCACGAUCUCCAAAACUUUUUCCACGUUAUAGAAAAAUGUAGGCAAUAAUAUAAGACAAUCACGAAAUCUCUUCCAUGUUCUAGAAUUUUCUCUCAACUCUAGAACUGCUCAAGAAAAAUCUGGUCCCUUGAACCAACAUAUGAGAAGCAUCCAAAGCUUCUUAUCACCACCCUACAUCUACUAUAAUUAUGGGUAGUGUGUAACAGGUGUCGUGCGUAAGAGAAUUGUGUAAGCAAUAAUGAGCGGUGUGUAAGAAAGCAAGAGAAACAUUAAGAGUGUGUGUGUGUGUGUGACAUGCAGGGAAGAAAAAAGGGAGUGAGAGAAACUCUAAGGUGUUUUACUUGGCGUGUGAGUUAGUGCAAAGUGUGGUGAGUGUGAGAAAUAAUCCAGUGUUGUACUAAAGCGUGAGAUUGAUUGUAGUUUUUUUUUUUUUUUUUUGGUAAUAUAAGCUUUAUUCACUCAAGUCCAUUUUAGCUUUUAGCUUUUAGCUUCUUAAUUUUUGGCUCUAUUCUCAACAUUUGGCAUCAAAGCAGUCUAAAAUAUCAACAUUAAUAUCCAAUAAAGCAACAAAAUCGUUCCACACCUCUAUGGUUGCAGCCGGUGAUG
rnacentral:misc_RNA from 1 species